rnacentral:rRNA from 1 species
CGCGCAGGCGGCUGGUCAAGUCCGAUGUGAAAUCUCCCGGCUUAACUGGGAAACUGCAUCGGAAACUGAUCGGCUUGAAGGUGGGAGAGGGUAGUGGAAUUCCCGGUGUAGUGGUGAAAUGCGUAGAUAUCGGGAGGAACACCAGUGGCGAAGGCGACUACCUGGCCCAUUCUUGACGCUGAGGCGCGAAAGCUAGGGAGCAACG